rnacentral:rRNA from 1 species
GACGAACGCUGGCGGCGUGCCUAAUACAUGCAAGUCGAGCGGACUGAAUGGGAGCUUGCUCUUGUUCGGUCAGCGGCGGACGGGUGAGUAACACGUGGGCAACCUGCCCGCAAGACCGGGAUAACUCCGGGAAACCGGAGCUAAUACCGGAUAACACCGAAGACCGCAUGGUCUUUGGUUGAAAGGCGGCGCAAGCUGCCACUUGCGGAUGGGCCCGCGGCGCAUUAGCUAGUUGGUGAGGUAACGGCUCACCAAGGCGACGAUGCGUAGCCGGCCUGAGAGGGUGACCGGCCACACUGAGACUGAGACACGGCCCAGACUCCUACGGGAGGCAGCAGUAGGGAAUCUUCCGCAAUGGGCGAAAGCCUGACGGAGCGACGCCGCGUGAGCGAAGAAGGCCGUCGGGUCGUAAAGCUCUGUUGUGAGGGACGAAGGAGCGCCGUUUGAAGAAGGCGGCGCGGUGACGGUACCUCACGAGGAAGCCCCGGCUAACUACGUG